UGAUUGGGCUAGGGGGCUUCACCGCCUACCAAACCCUGACAAACUCCGAAUGCUAACAGAUAUCUCCGGGAGUGAGGCUACGGGUGCUAAGAUCCGUGGCCGAGAGGGAAAUAACCCAGAAUAACAGCUAAGGUCCCUAAUAAGUAGUUAAGUUGAUCAAACGAAGUAGGACUUCUAUAACAGCCAGGAUGUUUGCUUGGAAGCAGCAAUUCAUUUAAAGAGUGCGUAACAGCUCACUGGUCGAGAGGUCCUGCACGGAAAAUAAUCGGGCAUCAAACUACUAACCGAAGCUUUAUGAUUGCCACUUGGUGGUAUAUCGGUAGGGGAGCAUUGAAACUGCAUUGAAGGUGUACGGUGACGUAUGCUGGAGCGGCUUCAAAAGAAAAUGUAGGCAUAAGUAACGAUAAAUAAGGUGAAAAACCUUAUCGCCGAAAGUCUAAGGGUUCCUGAUCAACGUUAAUCGGAUCAGGGUUAGCCCGGUCCUUAGUCAAACCCGAAAGGGGUAGAUGAUGGAAAGCAGGUUAAUAUUCCUGCGCCUGCUAUACAAUGAAAGUGACGGAGAAUGCUAGUCGUAUAAGCUGACGGAAUAGCUGAGUGGAUCCUUCGGGUGAAGCGUAACGAUGAAAGUUCUUCCAAGAAAAGCGAGUAUAGCAGCCGGUACCGCAAACCGACACAGGUAGACGGGAUGAAUAUUCUAAGGCGCUCGGGUGAGCCGUGGAGAAGGAACUAGGCAAAUUGACGCUGUAACUUCGGGAUAAAGCGUACCAUCUUCGGAUGGUCUCAGUAAAAUGGUUCAACCAACUGUUUAACAAAAACACAGGGCCCUGCAAAAUCGAAAGAUGACGUAUAGAGCCUGAUACCUGCCCGGUGCUGGAAGGUUAAGGAAGGGUGUUCGCCGCAAGGCAAAGCUCCUGACUGAAGCCCCAGUAAACGGCGGCCGUAACUAUAACGGUCCUAAGGUAGCGAAAUUCCUUGUCGGGUAAGUUCCGACCUGCACGAAUGGUCUAAUGAGUUGAACACUGUCUCCUCCACGAGCCCGGUGAAAUUGUAGUAUCGGUGAAGAUGCCGGUUACCCGCCACGGGACGGAAAGACCCCGUGAACCUUCACUACAACUUUGCAUUGAUUUUGAAUUACGGAUGUGUAGAAUAGUUGGGACGCUUUGAAGCCUUGCCGCCAGGUAGGGUGGAGCGGUCGUUGAAAUACCAACCUUCUUUGAUUUAGAGUCUAAUCCCUAACGGGAAACAGUGCAUGGUGGGUAGUUUGACUGGGGUGGUCGCCUCCUAAAGAGUAACGGAGGCUUGCAAAGGUACCCUCAGUACGGUUGGUAAUCGUACGUAGAGCGCAUUAGUAUAAGGGUGCUUGACUGUGAGGCAUACAAGCCGAGCAGGGACGAAAGUCGGCUAAAGUGAUCCGGCGGUUCUGUAUGGAAGGGCCGUCGCUCAAAGGAUAAAAGGUACUCCGGGGAUAACAGGCUGAUCUCCCCCAAGAGC
rnacentral:rRNA from 1 species